rnacentral:lncRNA from 1 species
UAAAAACCUCUGAUUUGUCUGAGUUACAUCUGCACAUGAAUGAAGAUGAUGUUAAGAAGAAAACAAGGACAGAGGUGGAGCAUAGGAUCUGCAUGAACUGUAAUGGCACAGAACUGGGUCAAAUAAUACUUUGACUUUUCCUGGGCACAACUUCUCAGUGGCAAGAUCUAUUUAACUGGAAUGAGUAAAAGAAACUAGAAUAACUUAAAAAAUCAGAAUGGCUCUCUCCUUCCAGAAAAACUURGUCUCUUUAUAUCUGGAUAAUUGAUAUCCUCACAAGGUAAGUGCUCUGGUAAUCACAAAACAAUUAAACAGCUUAACACAGUUUUAACACACAGAAAAUGUUGAA